UGAACAGUACAUAAGUUUCUACAUAUACGGAUAUAAACGCCUUCGUAUAUGAUAAACCUAAACCAUAAGGUAAAUAUAACAGGAAACGAAAUAAUAAUCGUUUAUGAGAAAUGUUAUCAGUUAUUCUAGUGUUUUUCUUUACUCUAGGAUUCAAAGUAUGAAAUUAAAUAUAUAUAUAGCAUAGCAGUGUAAUACGAGGCCUCUAAUUAUUACAACACAAGAUGACAUGAAAUAAAUUUGAUAAAAUAAAAAAAAAAAAAAAUUGUGUGGGAAAUAAUAACAAAUCUGAUACAGGCAACGUUUUAUCAACAAAUAUGUAGAACGGAAAGAGGAAUAGAAAUUAACUUAAUAUAUCUUGAAAAGUUACAGUGUAACCGUACUUUUAGUAUCUAAACCAAAAUAGUUCAUUUCAUUGUCGUCGUCCGAGGUUUAUUUGAACAUUGACAUUGACGAGUUAGUCCUAUGUUUUGUUUUUAGAACAUCGCAGGACAUAAGUUGCUUCUCAGUAGAAUUUCAAAAAGAUCAAAGCCUCAAUUGAUUAAGUGAAUGACGAACGAGGACACGUACUACAUGAUAAUUUAGGAUACAACAGGAAAGUAUUAUUGUAUCAUCUAGAUAGUAAGACACAAACAGACCAUUUGUGUCAUUUAUGCAGACAUUAAUAUUGUAAACCCAAUGAUCGAUUUAAGUGGUAUCACUUGUUUUAUUUUGAAACGUUGAAUGUCUGUAGUUAAUUCUAGCGGUUACUCAAUUCUUAAUAGAAUGAAACAUAUGGAGGCGAUGUAAACCGAUGACUAGAUGUCUUACCUGAGACAGACAAUAAACAUGUCUAGUACAGUUAAGUGAAAGUGGUUUCUAUACAUAAAUCAUCAUCUAUAUAUCACAAAAGCUAACGAUUGUCUUGUCAGAAACGAAAUUUUUUUCUAGUCUUUUUUAUGCAUUUUUCAACAAGACAAAUUGGUUUGAAAUUCGACCAGAUUAAAAAAAAAAGAAUCACUAUUACCCUCCCCCCACCACCUUGGAAUGAGACUUUGGAGUAGUUUUAUUUGCAAACGAUUAAAGUAGCAAAAAAGAAUUAUCUAAACCAUUGGGUGAAAGGAAAAUGACAAGAAUAUGUUUUAUUUCUAUUGAUUUGAAAUCAGGACUUUCGUAUUCGCCCCUUUUCUAUUACCUGCAUACCAGCUCAAAUAUUACUUUAAUUAUUAUCAACAGUUUGAAUUUGGAAAUUUGAUAGUGUUUUGUGCAAAUUCUUAGAUGUCAUUAUUACAGAUUUUUGUUUAGUUUAAACAUAUUCUAUUUGCUAAACAUCAGCAAAAUGGAUGAGACACAAGUAAAUCAUAUAUAUGAAGUCUUUUCAUCUACAUAGAUUUUUGUUAUAUUGGCCACUGGAUUUUAUUUAGAUUGAUGAACUGAAAGAUCGAACAAUAAGGGUAUUUUGGGUUGUUCUCAGUGGUAAAUAUUACUUCUGCAAUAACGGCCAUCGAUAAACUUAAGGUUAUAUCUUAAUUUAGCGGAUUUUAUCAAAUGUUUCGGUUCAGGAGUUCUUGAUGAAGGUAAACCCGUAAAAGCGCAUUGGAAGCUUGAAAUUUAUAAAGUGUAAUCAUUUAUAUGAGGUUUACAAUUUACUUGUUUUAGUCAGUAGAUAUGGAUCGUGGUUUUGAGUGACUUUUAAAAGGGCGGAUUCAUAUCCAGUUAAAUAAAGGAAUGCAGUGGGAUUUUCUUAUAAAAAGAUGCCAAUUCCAUAUAUUUCCAGCAAGACACGUGACGAAGUAUUGGCUAUAAAGGAAAACAAUAAGAAAGUUUAUCCAGCAAAGGCAAAUGAAAAUGUAGAUGAGCACCUUCUUGAUGUGGAAAACAAAUUACAACAGCUUUUGUCGUCUG